rnacentral:lncRNA from 1 species
UUUUUUUUUUUUUUUUCUAAUUUUUGGUUGGUGGCGGCGGUGCUGGGCCAGGGGAAGGAAGGGACACGGAGGCCGCCCUCGCCCCGCCACCUCCUACCAGCUUCCCCCCAGCCCCGGCUCCGGGAGAUGUGCCGGGCGGGGGGCCCGGGUUCGCCGAGCCGCAGGAGAGACACGCUGGGCCGACCCCAGAGCGGCGCUGGACAGAGCCAACACAGAUCUAUAGAUUUCUUUGAACUCGGAAUCUCAUAGCACCAAUAUUUUUGCACAGAACUCUUACUUACAUGUCUCAUCGAAACUCCAGAACAAACAUCAAAAGGAAAACAUUUAAAGUUGAUGAUAUGUUAUCAAAAGUAGAGAAAAUGAAAGGAGAGCAAGAAUCUCAUAGCUUGUCAGCUCAUUUGCAGCUUACAUUUUUGGUUUCUUCCACAAAAAUGAUAAGCCAUCACCAAACUCAGAAAAUGAACAAAAUUCUGUUACCCUGGAAGUCCUGCUUGUGAAAGUUUGCCACAAAAAAAGAAAGGAUGUAUGUUGUCCAAUAAGGCAAGUUCCCACAGGUAAAAAGCAGGUGCCUUUGAAUCCUGACCUCAAUCAAACAAAACCUGGAAAUUUCCCGUCCCUUGCAGUUUCCAGUAAUGAAUUUGAACCUAGUAACAGCCACAUGGUGAAGUCUUACUCGUUGCUAUUUAGAGUGACUCGUCCAAGAAGAAGAGAGUUUAAUGGAAUGAUUAAUGGAGAAACCAUGAAAAUAUUGAUGUCAGUGAAGAGCUUCCAGCCAGAAGAAAAUGAAAUCGUGAGGAUGGGGAAAAGACAUUUGUUGCACAAAUGACAGUAUUUGAUAAAAACAGAGUUUCACUCUUGUUGCCCAGGCUGGAGUGCAGUGGCAUGAUCUGGACUCACUGCAACCUCCACCUCCCAGGUUUAAGCAGUUCUCCUGCCUGAGCCUCUCGGAUUACAGAUGUCAGUACUUUGUGUGCUCUUGAAAUAGGAAAUGUACAGAUCCCUAUUGCCAGACACAUCAUUCUCUCCAUCCAGAAAGCCAACUUUGCAAGGACAAAAAAAAAAAUUAGUGUGAAACAAAAUGUGGCUUUUCCAAAGACAGAUGUGAUUAUUUAUAGUCAAUGUGGCCUCAAAAUGUCAUUGAUUGUGAAAUAGCAAACAUGCAGGAUCAUAAUAUUUGGGUAGGUUUCUGAAGUUAUUUCAUAUCUGAGCAGUCUAAAGAAGUAUGGGGAGGAGGGGCCGGGCAUAGUGGCUCACACCUGUAAUCCCAGCAC